rnacentral:lncRNA from 1 species
AUGAAAGAAAUAAAAGAAGAAGGUCUGAGGGAUAAUCUAAGCAAGAAGUACCUGGAGAUGGGUCGCAGCAACAUGACCAGCAACCAAAGAGUGCAAAAUAAACAUGCUGCCUGUUGCUACACAGCUUCAGCACAGGCUGAGGAGUUACUUUGGGUGUGGAUGACGCAAACAAACAAGUCUUGCCCAGAUGAUUCCAUUCGUGUAAUUUUGGCCAUGGCUUGUGUCAGCAAAUCAAAGGCAGAGGAGACCCCGUCUGCUCAGGGGAAUGGGCUGGGAUUGCUGCCCUCGGAAGCUGCCCUGCCACCUGCAAAGAGCCAUGGUGGAACCAGGAACCAGAGAGGUGUCAUCAGGCUCCAGCACACCUCGAUGCUUUGCCUGCAGCUCGCACUGAGGAGACUGAGUUUGCAUAUUCAGGGCAUGAAUAAAGGUGAAAUUUUCUGAACUACUUUAAUGUAAAUAACAGGAGUAUCCACAGCUAACCAGCAUGGCAGUUCAGCUGGGAUGACUGCCAAGGAACAAAUUUAAUGCAAUGUGUUUCAUUUACUCCUUAACAAUGGGCAAAUGGCACUCUCCUGCUGUUUCAGAGGUGCACCCACUGCUGGCUACGUGUCUGCCCACAGGUGUUGUGAACACUCACAGUCUGUUAGCACAAAUUGUGUUUGCUUCCCUCGAAGCCUAUCCAGGUCCCAAGGCAAACAAGUGCAAACAGGGCUGGCUGAGCGUGCAGCAGCAAUCAGAGCUCGCCCAGGUAGGAGCAGAGCUCCAGCCACGCUGGCCCGUGGCCAGGGAGCUCCACAAGGGAGCUCUGCUUCCCUGGCCAUGCAGGAAGGGAAUUCCUCCUCCUGAUAAUGACAGAGCUUCAUCCUUUCAGAGCUGUGCUUCUGUCCUUGUGUUUCCAGCUGGCACUGGACAUUCACACGCCCCUUCUUAAAAUUUGCCUUUUCUCCAACCACUCUUGCAGCCCCACUAAAUACUUGCAGUAGCCCCCUUUUCCCCCCUGACCGCUACCUACCUGUGACUAGCAAAUAAACUGCUAUUCAAGUGAAUUUAUAUGUUAUUUGAACAAGUGUCAGCAGCUCCUUAUUGGUUUUGUGAAAAAAAUGUGAAAAUUCAUGGCCAAGUCUAAAACAGAGAAAACAUUUUGCUGUUACAUAAUAAAAGGUGGAAAAAAGAAAGACAUUUUAAAAUAUCAAACUUAUUUUAUCACUUUAAAAGCUUAAAAAUAAGCAUGCACAGAAGCAUUUUGCUGAAUCAUAAACUAAAUAUUUUUUACCUUCUGGGACAAAACCCCCAGUACAGUAAUGAUGAUGGGGAGCAAAACAAUCUGCUAAUUCUGUAAGUUUUUCUUUCCAGGAUAUUUUUUCCAUUAUUGAGUGGCUACAUUAUGAAAGGAAAUACAUUAAGCUCAUGCAGCUUUUCCUUUGGACAUAGACAUGGGAAAAAAUAGUAAUCACAUGAUUCAGUGCAGUGCUCACAAAACUUGCAGCUUUCUGUUUGCUCUUCUAUUGCUGUGAAACAACUAGAAGUGCAUACCAUAUAUUAGCAUACAAAUAGUGUAUAUAAUUCAGUGUAAACUGAAUUGUUUAUAAACAUCAAACAUUAUUUAUAGUGCUUACACACGUUACCAUGGAAACAAAGUAAUUGCUGUACCAUUAGAACCCAAUUUCUCUGUGCAGAGGAGAGAAUGGCAAUGCGUCUGCAUCUGGGUGGUUUCACAUUUCUGCUUGUGGUCACAGAUCUCCCCUCCAAAGCAUCUUUUAGAUGUGGAACUAGUUUUGAUUAAAGAAGAAAGAUUAGAUCAAUAUAAGAGUGAGACAACUUGAAACAGAAGUGCACAUGUGAAAAGACUGCAAUUAUUGCACCGGAGAGAUGUGAACUAUUCAGUGAUGGGAAAUCAAAGGCAAACUGAGGAAUUUCAAGCCCAGCCAAAGGUCACUGCAGGCCAGUGUUUCCCAUCUCAGCACUGCCAGUGAUCAGUGGCUGCUGCCAUCUGUUUGAUGCUCGGCAGCCUCGAUGAAGCAGCAGGAUUGAUUGCAGCUCCAAAAGGUAAAAAAUUAGCAAGAAGAGACAUCCUUGUUUAUAAUCCUUCUAGUAAGGUCAAGGGUUGAAUGGACCAGAGAAAUGUUUUUCCUCUUUAAAGAGAAUGGAGUAUGUGCAGUGUCAAUAUUUAAAGGUAAACAGAACUUUAUCAGAGUUUGUAAAGGACAGAUACGUCUGCAUAUAGAGAGAGACAUCAGCUGGGACUUUUGUUAAUAUGAGUAAGAAUAUAAGGCAUUAAGAGCACUGCUUUCCUUCUCGCACUUGAAUUGGAGGCUAUGAUACAAAGACACCUGUUGUGGACCUGACUCUUAACAGCAAGAUCAUCAUACCUUGGCAAUAAGAGUUUCCAGCUUGGUCUUUUCUGCCCAACAAGAGAGUUAAGAGAAAAUGGGUAGUAAUUCAUCACAGCAUCAUGCCAAACUGCAUCAAACCAUGGCUUGAACUGAUCCUGUAUGUUUUAACAUAAGAAAAUACAAUAAAAUUCUCAGCUGAAAUGAUCCUUCCCUUCAACCAAGAUUUAUAAAGAUGAGGAUCCUUGUACUUUUGAUAAAAGGUUCACACACUAAGGCUGAUUUUGCAAUAUCAGAGCAGGCCCAGCUCCUAGAGAUGGUAAGUCAGAAUCACAAGGGUACUCCAAAAAGACUGCAUGUAGAAAGUCCCAUUACUCCAUGAAUUAAGCUUAUUUUCAGGCCAAAUUUUCUAGGAGAUGUCCUGCAUUUUGUGUCAUCAAAAAGUGCACCUACAUUCAGAAUGGAAGACUCCUUUGUGUCAUCUGUGCUAAUAACAGUAAAACCAGAACGGCUUCUUUACAUCUGGCAGAGAUUUUUCUCUAAGGGUGGGGUGGGGGGGGGGGGGGGAAGUCUUUUCCCUCCUUGCAGAUCUAAAUGCUGCAAAGUACUUCAGGAGGCUUUAGGAUUAAAAAAAUGUCUGGAGUAAACACAGGGUAUAAUUAUCAUCAUCUGUCUUCUCUGUGAAUCCAUACAUUUUAUAUUCCAUUUAAAACAGAAAAAAAACCCCUCAACGGGAUGUCUUCCAGUGAACCAAUUUAGCUAAUGAGAGUGAAUAUCAAUGACUGCUGCUAAUCAGAAUGGUAUUAGCAUAAAUUUUACUUAAUGAGGACGUAUUUGCCUGGUGCCAGGAGCAAAAUGCUGCUGAGGUAGAUUGCAAAAUGCAAUGGAUGGGUAAGCAUCAUCUGGAAAAAAAAUCCAUCAGAUGAAGUAAACAGACCUAUAUAUUUUGCUCCUGCUAAACUAGAUUUUUUUGCAACCCAGGACUUUAACCCCACUUGAGGCUUUUCAAACUUCUCCAUUAUAAUAGAAUGCUAUCAAGACUUUAAAUGUGAUGAAUUAAACACCGUGGGGAACAGCUUGAGAAGAGAUUCCAUUGAACACUUUUAACCUUGUUUGGGUAGGUAGAUCACUGAGGGAAACUUGCUUUUUUCAAUUUAAAGCAUGCAAUACAUGUAUUCUGCUGCACAACAAAAGUGUAUUUUCCUUCUGUGCAUUGUGGAAGGCUCUUUUCUGAAAAAUCCUUACUACUUCUCUCAGCUUCAAAAGCAGCAAUGGUACAUUGCCCUCUGUCUGCCUGUGAGUGAUCUUGGGUGGAAAAUUCCCUUCAGCCACUAUUGUCUUGAAGGAGUUAAGUCGCAGCAGCAUCCUGGAGCUGUUCAGCACACUGCAUUUCUUCCUCUUUAUACAGAAUCCCUAUUAGACAGUCUGAGGAGGCUCCAUGAACAAUAUGAAAGAUUUUUGUCUACAGUAACAUAAAGGGGUUAGAGUUCAAUACUCUCACAAAAUAUUUAAUCUUGUGAAAUGCUAUUUGUAGUGUCAUUCUUGUAUAUACCUGCUUUGAAAUUCCUAACCUUAGAUUCUUCUAUGCAAAGGAAUAUAGGGCACAAGUGUUCUUACCUUUGAUAUACUAUAGGAUCUAACAAUAUUUAACUGGUGAAGUCAUUUUUGUUUCCAAACCUGUGUCUCAAAUAUGCUUGGGAACGUGGAAACUCACAAUGCCCUUAUUCAUGACAUCAAAAUCAGUUCCAUGGUAACACAUUGUGAUGACAAAAUACACAGAUUGCAAGGUCACAAGUCACACUUAAGAACAGGCAGGGGAGAAAUUGUUAGUUUAAUGAAUAACAUUAGUCAGUUCCAAUAGGAAUAAAAAUAAAGAAAAAAAUAAAGUGCCUAAAGUAAACACCCUUAAAUGCACUUCAGAGCCAUUUCAUCUUAAGUAGUUCUUCAAAGGCAGAAGGCUUCCACAGCUUUCACCUCUGCAGUAAAGAGAAGGCAAUGUUAAGAAGAAAAGAGGUGCUGUACAUUGAUGAUGACCCCAUUGGUGCAUUUACAUUCACAGAGAGAAUCAGCAACUGCAGGGAAGAAAUGCUGGAAGAAAAGGAGUCACGUUAAUUCCAGGCUAAAUUCCUGAAAGCAGCUAAUGAUUCUGAUACUCAGCAAGGACUGGGGUUUCGCGCCCUGCCAGAAGCCACUUCUGAAACUUGCAUGUCCUUGGUCUACAGACAGGUAUUUGGAAUAUUUCUGUCACAGAACUCGGCAAUGAGAACUGCAGUAUGGCUCCUUCUGCUGAAUUUGAAAUGAUUCUUUUGUUGCCUGUUUUCUGAACGCUGCAUCACAAGAAAGCAAUCCAGGUUUAUAUGGUUUUAGUGUCCAAAGGCCAUCUCUGACAUUUAAGCCCUUUUACUGCAGGCACCCCACUCUCUGCAGGUAUGAGAAAUUCCUGUAGCCAGCUCAUCGCCUGAGGAGAUAAAGGCUGCAAAAAAGAGAAAGGAAAAACACAAAGGAGGAAAUGUCCAGCCCAGUACCCAAACAAAUGCCAGGCAUCCCUAAUUCUUUGACACCACCAUCAGAUUUGCUUGUGAUUUCCUGGGCAAUGACAGGAAAAAUUUGGAGUUCUUCAAGCAAAUGAACCAGAAAAAUCUGUGGUUAAGGGAAUGUUCUUGCAAAUGGCAUGUCUUAGUCAUUAGGUGGUUGGUCCAUGAAGUCACUGCACAAAAAGUAACAAGAACACAUUUGAAUGGGUUUUCCCUCCUGACUCUUACAUCUAAACCUUCUUUGAAAUCACAGCUCAAAUGUGUCACAUACA